CAGCACCUCAAGUGGUCAGGAUGAUUAUUGGGCCUAAAGCAUCCGUAGCCGGCUCUGUAAGUUUUCGGUUAAAUCUGUACGCUCAACGUACAGGCUGCCGGGAAUACUGCAGAGCCAGGGAGUGGGAGAGGUAGACGGUACUCGGUAGGAAGGGGUAAAAUCCUUUGAUCUAUUGAUGACCACCUGUGGCGAAGGCGGUCUACCAGAACACGUCCGACGGUGAGGGAUGAAAGCUGGGGGAGCAAACCGGAUUAGAUACCCGAGUAGUCC
rnacentral:rRNA from 1 species